AGAGUUUGAUCCUGGCUCAGGACGAACGCUGGCGGCGUGCUUAACACAUGCAAGUCGAACGGAAAGGCCCCUUCGGGGGUACUCGAGUGGCGAACGGGUGAGUAACACGUGGGCAAUCUGCCCUGCACUUCGGGAUAAGCCUGGGAAACUGGGUCUAAUACCGGAUAGGACCUUUAGGCGCAUGUCUUUAGGUGGAAAGCUUUUGCGGUGUGGGAUGGGCCCGCGGCCUAUCAGCUUGUUGGUGGGGUGAUGGCCUACCAAGGCGACGACGGGUAGCCGGCCUGAGAGGGUGUCCGGCCACACUGGGACUGAGAUACGGCCCAGACUCCUACGGGAGGCAGCAGUGGGGAAUAUUGCACAAUGGGCGCAAGCCUGAUGCAGCGACGCCGCGUGGGGGAUGACGGCCUUCGGGUUGUAAACCUCUUUCACCAUCGACGAAGGUCCGGGUUUUCUCGGAUUGACGGUAGGUGGAGAAGAAGCACCGGCCAACUACGUGCCAGCAGCCGCGGUAAUACGUAGGGUGCGAGCGUUGUCCGGAAUUACUGGGCGUAAAGAGCUCGUAGGUGGUUUGUCGCGUUGUUCGUGAAAUCUCACGGCUUAACUGUGAGCGUGCGGGCGAUACGGGCAGACUAGAGUACUGCAGGGGAGACUGGAAUUCCUGGUGUAGCGGUGGAAUGCGCAGAUAUCAGGAGGAACACCGGUGGCGAAGGCGGGUCUCUGGGCAGUAACUGACGCUGAGGAGCGAAAGCGUGGGGAGCGAACAGGAUUAGAUACCCUGGUAGUCCACGCCGUAAACGGUGGGUACUAGGUGUGGGUUUCCUUCCUUGGGAUCCGUGCCGUAGCUAACGCAUUAAGUACCCCGCCUGGGGAGUACGGCCGCAAGGCUAAAACUCAAAGGAAUUGACGGGGGCCCGCACAAGCGGCGGAGCAUGUGGAUUAAUUCGAUGCAACGCGAAGAACCUUACCUGGGUUUGACAUGCACAGGACGCGUCUAGAGAUAGGCGUUCCCUUGUGGCCUGUGUGCAGGUGGUGCAUGGCUGUCGUCAGCUCGUGUCGUGAGAUGUUGGGUUAAGUCCCGCAACGAGCGCAACCCUUGUCUCAUGUUGCCAGCGGGUAAUGCCGGGGACUCGUGAGAGACUGCCGGGGUCAACUCGGAGGAAGGUGGGGAUGACGUCAAGUCAUCAUGCCCCUUAUGUCCAGGGCUUCACACAUGCUACAAUGGCCGGUACAAAGGGCUGCGAUGCCGCAAGGUUAAGCGAAUCCUUUUAAAGCCGGUCUCAGUUCGGAUUGGGGUCUGCAACUCGACCCCAUGAAGUCGGAGUCGCUAGUAAUCGCAGAUCAGCAACGCUGCGGUGAAUACGUUCCCGGGCCUUGUACACACCGCCCGUCACGUCAUGAAAGUCGGUAACACCCGAAGCCAGUGGCCUAACCCUUGGGAGGGAGCUGUCGAAGGUGGGAUCGGCGAUUGGGACGAAGUCGUAACAAGGUAGCCGUA
rnacentral:rRNA from 3 species